rnacentral:tRNA from 1 species
CCCAUCGAGGACGUUCCGGAGCAGUCGCGACUCUCGAUCGCGGAGAUCCGCGAGUUCACCGGUCGGGUCACCGCCGACCGGUGGAC